rnacentral:rRNA from 1 species
GACGUAGGAGGCGAGCGUUAUCCGGAUUCACUGGGCGUAAAGCGCAUGUAGGCGGCAGGGCAAGUCGGAUGUGAAAGCCCACGGCUCAACCGUGGAAGUGCACCCGAAACUGCCUCGCUAGAGUCUCGGAGAGGAAGGUGGAAUGCUUGGUGUAGAGGUGAAAUUCGUAGAUAUCAAGCGGAACACCGGUGGCGAAGGCGGCCUUCUGGACGAUGACUGACGCUGAGACGCGAAAGCGUGGGGAGCAAACAGG